GGCAUGUCUUCUGCUGUGAUGAGCUAUGCUGUAGUACCACAGAAUAUAGUAUGGUACGGGAAAUAUUCAAUCACCAGAAUCAAGGUUUUAGGUCAGUAGGAGACUUCUAGCCCUGUCCAGCUACACAGAAACUCCCUAUCAGUAGAUGAAAUGACUGCCAAGGAAGGAUGGUUCACACAUUCAGCUACCCAUAAAGACUGCUCAGGGGAAGGAGAAGUUUGGUGAAAAAGGCACAACUACAUCUGUUUCCUUUCCCUUCUUAUCUAAUUUUCAAGCCAGAGAGAGAAGUGAGCCAAACCAACACACUACUUCCUUAUCUCCCUUCUUCUGCCUGCUGUUUCAGAUGAACUGAAAUGGACAAAUGUGAAGCCCCUUAACUCUUACGUUCUGGUCAUAAUCAUCUAUCCAGUAUAAUCUACUUAUCAGAACCAGACUUUGUGGACCUCACUGUUCAACUAAGCAGGACAACUUGAUAAAAUGCAACCAACAAGCUGAAUUGCACUCAGCAUGCUACAACAGAUUAGUUAACGAAGGUUUUUCAAAACUUUAAAAAAUGAAAUUAAUCAAUCUGAGCAUAAAACUUUGGUCUACAACAUGCCAAACAUUCAGUGCAAUACUCAUAAAACUGAGUAAGCCAAGAACAGGAUCCAUUCAGAGUCAUUUUGCAUCCCAGCAAU